CCUACGGGUGGCUGCAGUGGGGAAUUUUGGACAAUGGGCGAAAGCCUGAUCCAGCCAUGCCGCGUGCAGGAUGAAGGCCUUCGGGUUGUAAACUGCUUUUGUACGGAACGAAAAGGUCUUUUCUAAUAAAGAAGGCUGAUGACGGUACCGUAAGAAUAAGCACCGGCUAACUACGUGCCAGCAGCCGCGGUAAUACGUAGGGUGCGAGCGUUAAUCGGAAUUACUGGGCGUAAAGCGUGCGCAGGCGGUUAUGCAAGACAGAUGUGAAAUCCCCG
rnacentral:rRNA from 1 species